GAGGCAGAAGCAGGAUGACA
rnacentral:miRNA from 1 species